rnacentral:rRNA from 1 species
AGGAUGAACGCUGGCGGUGUGCCUAAUACAUGCAAGUCGAGCGGUAAGGUCCCUUCGGGGAUACACGAGCGGCGGACGGCUGAGUAACACGUAGGAACGUACCCCAAAGUGAGGGAUAAGCACCAGAAAUGGUGUCUAAUACCGCAUGUGCUCUAAGGAGUAAAGCUUUACGCGCUUUGGGAACGGCCUGCGCAUGAUUAGCUUGUUGGUGAGGUAAAGCUCACCAAGGCGACGAUCAUUAGUUGGUCUGAGAGGAUGAUCAGCCAGACUGGGACUAGGAGACACGGCCCAGACUCCGUACGGGAGGCGAGCAGUAGGGUAACUUUUCCACAAGUGGGACAAAGGCCUGAUAGGAGACAACGACCCGCGGUGCCGAGGACUGGAACGGUCCGUUUCGGGUUUAGUAAAC